rnacentral:ribozyme from 1 species
GUUUUUCAAGUGUUUUUUUUUUUUCUUUUCUUUUCUUUCUAGACUGUGCGUGGGGUUCAC